AUUAUAAAGAGUUCUAUCCUAGCUCAGGAUAAACGCUGGCGGAAUGCUUAACACAUGCAAGUUAUAUUAUAACAUUUAAUAAAAAUAUACACACAAUAUAUAUCUCGCCAUAUAAUAUUAUUGUUCGGCGCACGAGUGAGUAACGCGUGAGAAUCUACCCUCUUUUCUAUACUUAUUACAAAUAGCUAUAUAAAAACAGUUUAAUAUAUUUAAACUGUAUAACUAAUAUUUAAUAAAUAAUAUAAAUAAAUGUGGAGCGGGCUCGCGUCUGAUUAGUUAGUUGGAAUGGUAACGGCUUAACAAGACGAUGAUCAGUAGCUGAUCCGGUAGGAUGUUCGGCCACAAUGGGAUUGAGACACGGCCCAUACUUUAUACUAAAGGCAGCAGUGGGGAAUUUUCCGCAAUAGAUGAAAAUCCGACGGAGCAAUUCCGCGUGGAGGUAUUUUAGGCUUACGAGUCAUUAACUUCUUUUUUUUUUUAAGAAUCAAUGACAAUGUAUAUUAAAGAAUAAGCAUCGGCUAAUUCUGUGCCAGCAGCCGCGGUAAUACAGGGGAUGCAAGCGUUAUCUAUAAUUAUUGGGCGUAAAGAGUCUUGUAGGUGGUUUUUAAAGUCUUUUGCGCUAAAUAUAGGGGCCUAACCCUUGAAUAAAUAAGCCAUAGAAACUAUUAAUCUAGAGUACUACAAAAUUCGGUGCAUAAGGAAUUCCUGAUGUAGCAAUGAAAUGCGUGGAUAUCGGGAGGAACACCAAAAGUGAAAACAAUUUGCGAGAUUGUAAUUGACACUGAAAGACAAAAACUAUGGAAAUAAAUGGGAUUAGAUACCCCAGUAAUCUUAGUCGUAAAUGAUGGAUACUAAAUACUAAAAAAUGUAUAUAUCCAUAUAGUAUUGUAAGUUAACACUUUAAGUAUCCCGCCUGGGGAUUACAUUUUUUUAAUAAAUGAAACUCAAAGGAAUUGACGGGGGCUCGUACAAGCAGUGGAGCAUGUGGUUUAAUUCGAUGCAAAGCGAAGAACCUUACCAGAGAUUAAUAUGCUUUUUGUUAAAAUUAUAUUAAAAAAAGUGUUGUAUUUAUUUAAUUAUUCUCAUUUUUUUUAUAGAAAUUAAAGCACAGGUGGUGCAUGGCUGACGUAAGUUCGUGCCGUAGGGUGUCGAGUUAAGUCUCAUAACGAACGUAACCCUUGUAUUUAAUUUUUUUAACAUAAACAUAUAAAAUUAUUAAAUUUUACAUAAAUUAUGUAAUGAUAUCAUUAAAUUAACUGCCAAUGACGAUAAAUUGGGGGAAGGAAAGGAUCAUGUCAAGUCAUCAUGCCCCUUUAUGCUCAGGGCAACACACGUGCUACAAUGGAUAAAACAAUAAAAUAAAUAAAUUUCAUCGCAAGAUGAUAAAUAAGAAUAAAAUUUAUCCUAAGUUCGAAUCGCAGACUGCAACUCGUCUGCAUGAAGAAGGAAUUGCUAGUAAUCGCUGGUAAGUCAUACAGCGGUGAAUUUGUUCCCGAGCCUUGUACAUACCGCCCGUCACACUCUAGCAAUUUGAUAUGUCUAAAAUAAUUUUUAUUAAUUUUGAUUACUAAGGCAAUAUUUAUAACUCGGGUGAAGUCGUAACAAGGUAGUUGUACUGGAAAGUGCGGCUAGAUCAUAUUACUU
rnacentral:rRNA from 1 species